rnacentral:rRNA from 1 species
CAACAACUCUCAGCAACGGAUAUCUUGGCUCCUGCAACGAUGAAGAACGCAAS